AAAACACGAUCAAAACCUCGAUCCAACGUCGAGUAAUCAUUUUCAAAACUUAACAGAACCAGCACGUAUUCAUCCAUUCUUUUGUAAGUCGAUUACUUCAUGCAUCUCUAUUUCUCUUGUAGGUCGAUUGCUUCUGGCAUCGCCAUCUACCACCUGUAAGUCGAUUGCUUCGUGCAUCGCCAUCUACCCUUUACCCCACUCCUCUC
rnacentral:lncRNA from 1 species